ACAACCCUACAGAUGCAGUGGAUCCCUCCUGUCCCUUGCCCUAGCUCAGCUUCUGCUUUCUCAUAGCCUGCACUGACUCAGGCAGCUACCCACUCCCUCUUUUCUGAGUCUUCCUGCCUCAUCUCCUGUUUCCAACAGCUUAGCUUCCUCCUCAGAUCUCAGGUUCAAAUUCCUCAGAGGAAUGAAUGGCUGGCCCAACUUAAUCCCUGUCUUCCAGUUUGGGCCCCAAGCUUUUUGGGUUGAACCAGCUCUGAAAUCUCCAGCAAGUCCAUAGCUUAGCUGCUCUGAGGCGUUCAGCUGUAGAUAAGGGAGGUGGAGGGUUGUGGAACAGGGUGAGGGGAGAGCCCUUGAGCAAAAUGGCUGUCAUGACAAACACUCUGGAGCUUAGUCCAUUCAGAACUGGGGGUGACUGUCCCCUUGCCACAUUACACUUAGAAUGUGGGCUCCCAUUCCAAAUCCCAAACCAGGAGAAAGCCCUGGAUUGAGUGGUACCUUCCUGACCAGAGAAGAGAGACUGGAACAACAAGGGAACAUCACUCACAGGGACAGGGGAGGGAGAGAAGGGGCCACAGAGGACAUAAUCUCCACCUUUGCCUGCAGACAAGGUCUCCAAGCACAGAAGCUGAGCUAUUCCGGGUGGCCUGGAAGGAAGUAUCAGAACCAGGUGCUACUUACAUCUGAUAAACUCAAGUGGUGGACAGAACAGAGAGGGCCUCCUCCAAGGUGACUUGCUAAGUCCUCCCCUAACGACGAAAUAGAGAAGCUUCCUGCCCCUGUUACACAUGGCCUCCUCCCGGGCCCAGCAGCUCACCUGGACCACGGAAAGCACAGAAAGAACUGGCUGAAUGAAUCAAGAGAUCAAGUGUUCUCCCUGAGGCCCUGUAACAGCUCUGCAGCUGACUGCCCAGAAGGAAGCAGAAGUGAGUGACAAGUUGGGGGAACCAGAGCUUGCACACCAUAGGCCUGAACACUAGCCUCUGGGGAAAGGCAAGUCCAGCUGACCUUGGUGAAGUUAGGACCCGGGCCGAGGCCACCUCUUCUGGUUCACCCUCUGCUGGCCUCCCAGCUUCUUUGGCUCAGCAACACCCAGGAUUCCAGGCAUGUUUGCCUCUGGCCUUCUAAAAAUACCCAGGCCACCCAGCACCUCCCAGAUGUCUGAGCGCUGAGUCUGUGAUUUCCCUGCCGGUAAUGGGACAGCCCCGGGGUGGGCAGGCGGGGGUGGCUCGAGCAGCUCAAGCCACUUCCUCUGCCUCCCAUCCCCUAGCCUACCAGAAGCUGGACCCAGCCCUGCCUCCCAAUCCUUGCAAGGCAAAGGAGGGUAGAGGCUAGCAGACCUCAGAGAUUGUUGACUCCAGUCUCUUCUUGGGACAGAUGGGAGAUCUGAAGUCUAAGGAUUGCUCAUGGCACUUGUGCCAUUAAGGUCCUCCUCACCCCACUCCCCAGCACUGUGUUCAUGCCUGCUGCUGUCUCACUUCCCACAUGCUACUUGGAGUCUAGGUCUUGGAGCCCAACCUGACUUCCUCCAUGCAGCUGAAAGCUCCUGACAGCAGUGAAGGGGAGGAUCCCUGUGGUCUCCAUGGUGCCUGGAAGAGUGUCCAAUCCAGAGCACACCAUCAGUAAACGUAGAUUGGAUUGAACAAUGUAGUGGCAGCUGGGGCAAUGGGUGGAGCACUGGGCUGGAGGACAAAGCCUCUGAAUUCUAUCUAGCCCAGGGUCAGCCACUGUGAUACUAUGCAUCCUCAUCAAUUGCCCUGGACAAACCUGUUUCUCCUGGGCUGGAUAGGAUGGUGUCUAAGGACUGAGCCAGCUCUGCUGAUAUGAAGCUGCAAGCUGAUGCCCUGCUGGAUAUUCCUGUCCCUUCUCUGCUCUACUGUAUGUCUGGGAGAGAUGGCACAACCUGUAGGUUCCAUCAGCUCCAGGUUCUCAGCUUCUGCUCCUCCCUCCGUGCUUCUGAACAUUCCACCUCUGGUCCUAGCCCCUGAGGCCCAGCUCUUCCAAUAGUGCCACUUCCACCUCUGCUGCUGGGUACACAGGGGUGAAUGCAUACCUACCUCGCUCACUAAUCAUGUGACCUUGGGUAAGGCAUUGCCCUUUUCUGGGCUUCAGUUUUAUCAUAUCUAAAAGGGAAUAAUAAGGCCUACCUUAAAGGAGUGCUAUGAGGAUGUAGGAGAUUCCAUAGCUCAGAUGUCAGGUUAUAUAUCACCUCCUGCAGAAAGUCUCCCCUGUCCUCCCAAGGAUGGCUCAGAUAGCAUUUGUUGCUGGCUCUUCAGUUCUGACCUUCCCAUGUUCACACUAUGUGGUCAUUGGCUCUCUAUGCAUCCAUCCCCCACCAAGCUGUGGGCUCCUCAAGGCCAGGAGUCUCCAGGACCCAGUACAGGACCUUUACAGAUGAAGUGCCUGGGAACGUUUUUUGACAGACACAGUGGGUGAGUAAAGCCUGAGAGAAAGGCAAGGGGUUGUGCAGAAGUCUGGGAGUCUGAGUAAGAAGUGGCCUGACUGACAGGGCAAGUUCUGGUGGUAUGAAUAUUGACAGCUGCUUGGAGCCCUUCCCCCAUUUCCCUGCUUGGUAAAUUCAUCCUUCAAGAUCCCAGGAGAGCAUCUCCUUCCCUGAGAAACCUGAUCACUCUCCCCUCUACCACAUUACACACUCCACUGUAGGUGUUCUUUACACACCUGUCUCCCUUCUCAGAUGUGAGUUCCCUGAAGGCAAGACCCUGUUGGAUCUCACAGCACCAAGCACUAGAUCUGGCAUGAGUUAGUCAAGGUUUUGGAGCAGAAGAAUGGAUGGAGGAAAUAAUUUCUGAAUCGAACUUGGAAUUGAACUGCCUGAACUUUAAUGCCCUUUCCAGCCUUAGGGAUGAUAAUGAAUUACCAAAGUGAGAAAAAUGGAGGCGCAAGCUGUUGUCAUCCUUCCAGAGGCACCCUCCAAGUGUGUGUGGGUGAAAUGUGAGCUGGAGAGAGGAUUGACAAAGAGCAGUGAAAACAUAUUCCUGGACCCCAUUCUUUUUUUUUUUUUUUUUUUUUUUGAGAUGGAAUUUCCCUCUUGUCAUCCAGGCUGAAGUGCAAUAGCUCAAUCUCGGCUCACUGCAACCUCCACCUCCCAGGUUCAAGCGAUUCUCCUGCCUCAGCCUCCCGAGUAGCUGGGAUUACAGACACACACCACCACGCCCAGCUAUUUUUUGUAUUUUUAGUAGAGAUGGGGUUUCACCAUGUUGGCCAGGCUGGUCUCGAACUCCUGACCUCAGGUGAUCCACCUGCCUCGGCCUCCCAAAGUGCUGGGAUUACAGGCAUGAGCCACUGUGCCUGGCCUGAACCCCAUUUUUAUCUCUGGAUUUUUCUCUCUGUUGAAGAAUUGCUGCAGAAACCAUAUUCUAAGUAUAAAAGGCCUUUAGAUACCUAAGAUGAUCCCCAGAACCUUGAUGUGAAUCCAUUUACUCAUACUUUACAUUCUCACUUUACACUUUGAGCAUGAAGCCCAUGGUGAUCUGGUUGUAAAAGGUUUAAAGGUUAAUUGGCAGCCAAUGUUGGGGGUGAGAAGUUGCUGCUGCAGGCAGGCAGGUAUUCACCAAGGCAGCAGAGAGAGGAGGCAUCUGCCAGGCUGGUAGAAAGGAAAUAGAAAAAGAAAACAGGCCGAGAGCGGAGGCUCAGGCCUGUAAUCCCAGCACUAUGGGAGGCCAAGGCGGGCGGAUUGCUUGGUUGCAGUGAGCCAAGAUCGUGCACUACACUACAGCCUGGGUGACAGGGCGAGACUCCAUCUUAAAAAAUCAUAAUAAAUAAAAUAAAAAUACAAAAAUUAUCCAGGUGUGGUUGUGCAUGCUGUCGUCCCAGCUACUCGGGGCGCUGAGGCAGGGGAAUUGCUUGAACCUAGGAGGUGGAAGUUGCAGUAAGCUGAGGUCACACCCCUACACUCCAGGCUGGGUGACAGAGCGAGACUCCGUCAAAGAAAAGAAAAGAAAAUAGAAGAGAAAAGAGAAGAAAGAAAAUGGGCAAAAGCAACUAAAGGUACCACAGAUCAAAACCUUUAAGAUCAGCAUUGGGUACACCAUUGCAUAUCUGCUCUGGGCAAAUCCCUUUCUGGGCCUCAGUCUCCCCAUCCGUAAAAUGAACAGGUUUUACCAAGGGCUCUGAGGGCUUAUGAUUCUCCAGGAGUUUCCUUAUGUGAGGCCUUUCUGUCCCCAACCAUACAGAUCAGAUGAGGUGUCAUCAAAGUCAAGACUCCAAUUUCUAGGGUUUGUGGGUUAUCAGGCUUUCCUGCCACAAACUUUCCUGCCACGAACCUCCUGCUAGGCUCCUCAGGGGGAGUUCACUACUGUGGCUGUCUGGGCCGAGCCCCCAAGAAGAAACAAAACUCUCCAGGGUCUGGUGCAGAGGCUGUGGCCCAAGGUCUGCUUGCUGCCUAAGGAAGAUAUGAAAAGGAAGCCUGGCUCUGGGUGAAACGGAAGUGUCUGAGGUCUGACAGUUGCUCUCAGCAUGGUCUCUGCAGCCAGGAGGGAAGUAAAACUGUCUGGGCAUCUGGUAGUUUCUACCCUGAGAGUCCACAGGACAGUGACAAGUGGGGCCUGGUGCAGGCCUGUUCUCUGGUCCAGAGCCCUAGCUUAGGCCAGAGACAGUCUUUGGAGAGAUGCUGGCCCAAAGAUUUGGAGGGAGGGCAAAGGAGAAUACUCUGAAGCUGGUUCAUGACCUUAGGCAAAUCUCUGUGCCUCUUUGGGUCCAGUUUCUCCAUUUGCAAAAAUGGAGUUUGGGCUAAAUUUGCCUGUGCAAUAAGGGUUUCUGGAAUGGUGGGCACUGGGGAUACAGAGACAAUUUGGUUACAAGGAACCUGGAUUGUUACCCUGCUGGCAAGGGACUCACAGCCUGGUAGGACAUAGUUACAGAAUCAUUGGUUAAUUGUGAUUAUCAAUGCAUGUAUAGGUGCCGAAAAGCUGUGGACAUAGAGCAUUAAUUCAGCAUUCAUCCAGAGAUCCAGGGAAGGUUAAGCAACUUGCCCAAGGUCAUAUAGAUAUUAAGUGGUCCACCUGGGGCCAGAGUCUUGAAAGGAAGGGGAAUUCAGAAGAGGACAUGGCUAAAUAGAAGUCUGGAAGACCAGUCUGCUUGUGCUUGCUGCUGUCAUCAAGAUCUGAACAAAGUUAUGGAGACCCAGAGGAGGGGAGAUUAAUUCUGACUUAGGAGAAGGAGGAAGACUUCACAGAAGCAGAGGUUUUGAGCUGGGGUUUAAAGGGCAAAUAUGAGUUUAUCAAGUACAGAAAGGGAGAAGGGUGUUAAAAGCUGAGGGAACAGCAUAUUCAGAUGUGUGAUGUUGCUAAAAAGAGCCUGAUGAGUUGCUGGAAAAGUUGUCUGUGUGUGUUUGUGCGUGUGUAUGUAUGUGCGGUAUGUUAGGAACAAAGAGUACCUAAAAUGGGAGGACUGAGAGAUGAGGUUUCAUAGUCUGGCUGGAAUCACACAGUGAAGGGCCUUGAAUGUGUUUGGAGGGCAGUGGGCAGCCAUAAAAGGGUCUUAAGCCACGGAUGCAUGGUCAAAAUAGCCUAUUAGCAGUCUUGCUCGGGCUGCUAGGAGGGCAGAGGACCAAAGUACAGGGCUGGGGCCAGGCAGAAACAACUGUAAAGAGGCAGUGGCAGAGGAUUGAGGGUGUCAGGUGUCAGGCCUAGCCCCUGUCAAGAAAUAGAAACUUUUCAAGAGACUACAUAGGUGUGGAGGAAACAAGAAUUGAAACCUGAGCCCAGCUGUGGCUGUGGUCUGGGCAGGUGCCGUAAGCAAGGGAAGUGAAAGGGUUGGGGUGACUUCCAGUUGAAGGAGGGGGAUGGCUUGUGGGGGAUGCUAGGGGCCUGUCCUCAGGCUGGAGACCUGUUCCAGGACGGGGCAGGGUAAGGGGCUAUGCCUGACCAAGCCCCUGCCUCUUGUUCCUGCCCUCAGAGAUCCCACUUCCUUCUGCUAGGCCUUAACUCUUUCUCCUGAGAUAUUCCUUCCCUACUCCCCACCCCUCCCAGUGUUCCAUCCCACCCUUUCUAGCAUCCCAUGGUUCCUAUCCAGGUCCUGUAGGCCCUCCAGCGAGGCUGCCCCGAGCAGCUCAAGUUCCUUGGCUUCUCCUACACCAACCUGCACUGCUCAUGCUGCCUGAGCAGUGGUCUGACCAUGUUUUGCCUUGAGGCCUGUUUUAUUCUGUAGUGUUGGUUCACCAAACUAGUCACUGUUACUUCACUGUCACCUCACUGCAGCUGCAGGUGCCCCUGUCUCAUUGGGCUCUGCCCACAAGAGCUCUUGAUAAGUCAGAAUCAGACCCUCAUGUGCCCAGAGAAGCUAGCAUUGAGUAUGCCUGGCCCAAAGCAUGAACUUGGGGAGGGGCUGUUCAUGGGCUGCGCUGAUGAGUUCUUUGUUCUGGGGCAAAUCUUGACAUGAUUGUGUCUGUUUUUUUCAUUUGUUCGUUUGUUUGUUUUUUUGAGACAGAGUCUUGCCUCAUUGCCCAAGCUGGAGUGCAGGGGCACCAUCACAGCUCACUGCAGCCUGGAGCUCCUGGGCUAAAAUGAUCCUCUCACCUUAGCCUUGUGAGUAGCUGGGGCCACAGGCAUGUGCUGCCACGCUUGGCUAAUUUUUUAUUUUUUGUAGGGGUUAUGAACCACGAGGGGUGAAUUCCUUCCUGCUGGUCCCCAAAUACCUGACCCUCCACCUGGAUCUGCCCAUUCAGAUCAAUCAUCUCCAGGUGCAGGGUCAGGUAUUUGGGGACCAGCAGGAAGCAAUUCACCCCUAAUGGUUCAGAUGAAGAGACUUUAAUGAGGGGACUACUGUACUGAGGUGUUGGCAGGGUAAGAGAACAAAAAAAAGGACGUUGAGGCACCCACCCAGAGGCUGGCAACAGUGGAAAAGUCUUACGGCCCAGCACUCAAAGGGGUCAGGAAUCAUGUCCAGACCGAAGUGGAAGCCAGUUGGCAAGAAGGCCUCAUGAGGGAGCCCACAGAGGUCUGCCUCCCAGGGCACAGUGCAGGGUGUGGGUGUGGGUGCAAAUGGAGACUAACGGUCUCCAGAUAUGGCUGAAAGAUUCUCACCCAGAUGGAAUAUCUGGAAGAUGCCUCUGGCCUUGAUGCAGUCACUUCUCUGUGAUCGGUGCUGGUUUGGAGGUUUUUCCAGCUGUCCCAGAGAGAACAGGUGAAGCUUUACUUUCAGAGUAAUUCCGGUACCAUCUAGAAAGCAUGUUCUGGUCUUGAUAGUGACAGACUAGAGAGUGACAGAGGCAUGUGGGCCUCAAGGGUACAGAAUUAUCCCAAUAUACAGAGUGACAGAGGCACGUGGGCCUCAAGGGUACCGAAUUAUCCCAACAUAUAUAGUGACACAGGCCCAGAGAGAGUCAGAGCUGUGCCAAGGGUAAACAGGCCCAGGGCAGAACAUAGUAGAACACGGUGGAGGGGAGAUGCUGUGAGCUCAUGUUGGAGAGGUACACAGCAUCCAGAUUAUGGAGUUAAGGCCACACAGCUAGAGAGCAGCAGGGCCAAAGGUCCAACUGGUCAGUCUGAAUUGGAACUUGACUCAAGCUCUUAACCAAGACCCUAAGCUGACCCUGUAGAGAAAAGAGAGAAGGGUGUUAAAAGCAGAGGGAAUAGCAUGUUCAGAUGCAUGAAGUUGCUAAAGAGCCUGAUGAGUUGCUGGAAAAGUUGUGUGUGUGUUUGUGUGUGUGUACAUAUAUGCUGUGUCUUUGGAACAAAGGGUACCUAAAAUGGUAGGACUGAGAGAUGAGGUUAUGUAGGCUGGCUGGAGUCACACAGUGAAGGACCUUGAAUGUCAGGUUAAAAAGCUUGGGCUAAAUUUGGAGGGCAGUGGGCAGCCAUAAAAGGGUCUUGAGCAGUGGGUGCAUGGUCAAAAUAGCCUAUUAGCAGGCUUGCUUGGAAGCUGAUGUGCCUGUUUGUUUGUUUGAGAUGUGCAGCUUCUAAGUGCACAUCUACUUGGAAGCUGAGUGCCCAGUGUGCAGACAGGAAAGGUACUGGAGUUAGUGUGACCAAGCCCAGGGUAUCUUGUCUUUCAGACACACCCCAUCUUCUCCUUAUGGACCACUCACUCACAAACCUCCCCCGGUCACAGGCUCAGCACAGCAGGUGAGGUUAUAGGCUGAAUAUGAGCAAAGGACAGGCCUGUGCAGGCCCUUGGGCACAUCCUCCCUUAGGUUGCUGACUGGGCCUUGUAUUCCAUGACCUGGCUGCCCACACUUAAUGUUCCACUACUGUUAAACCUCUGGGUCUACAGACCUUGAAAUCCAUCCAUCUAGUGUGCCUGUUGGGUGCCACAAACAAGAUCUCCUCCCAGAAGUCUACGGGGAUGGGGACAUUGAUAGGAUGAGUGAGAUAGCCAAUAUUUGUGGAGUGUGAUAAAACCAUAAAGGACUACUGCUUUUUAAAAUUGGGAGCAGAGCCAGGUGCGGUGGCUCACACCUGUAAUCCCAGCACUUUGGGAGGUCAAGCUGGGCGAAUUGCUUGAGCCCAGGCAUUCGAGACCAGCCUGGGCAAUGUGGCAAAACCUUGUCUCUACAAAAAACAACUACAACAAAAUUAGCUAGGCAUGGUGGCAUAUACCUGAAGUCCCAGUUACUCAGCAGGCUGCGGUGGGAGGACUGAUUGAGCCCAGGGGGUCAAGGCUGCAAGCAAACUGUGAUUGCACAACUGCACUCCAGCCUGGGUGAGAGAGCAAGACCCCAUCUCAAUCAAACAAACAGGAAAGUAAGACAGAAGGAAGGAAGGAAGGAAGGAAGGAAGGAAGGGAGGGAGGGAGGGAGGGAAGGAAGGAAGGAAGGAGGAAAUUGUGAGCAGACAUUCAAGAGGGCCACCCAAGGCUACACCAUCUACCUCAUUUCACAGGAUUCUCUAUCCAAGAGAAAUAUGGAUAGAGCCAUGUUUCCAAACGUGGCUCAGGCCCAUUCAGCUUGUGGUUUUCGCUCUCUCUGUCCCUCCGCAGGGAGUGCCUGCCUCCCAUGCAUCAAGGCCUACUUCCAAUGCAGCCCUCGUGGGCCCCUCCUUUAGACAGAGGCAGUCUUCCCCCACUUAGAACAACCACAGCACUUUGAUUUUGUGCUUUGGAAUUACUCAGACUCAAACAAUCAUUAGGGAAUUCUAUAUCUUGCCUCUCCGUCUAGAUUGAGGGUACCUGUUAAUUCAACUUUUCAUUCUCCCCUCCUAGAAUACUACAGGUACAGAAAUCAUUUGCUCAAUUAAAUGGUGGCAGCCCAGUUCCCAUGAGGAAGGUCUGGGUGACUCUGGUAAUUGUGAUGGAGCGGUUAACCUCUAGACACUGGGGCAGGACCAUCUGUGUUCAAAUAGCCUACCUCUUACUAAUUGUGUGAUCUCAGGCAAGUGACUUAGCUCCAUUCUUGCAAUCAAGACCAUUGAGUGUUGUGAGAAUUAAUGGGUUAACACAGUCAAAGCCCUCAGAGCUGUGCCUGGUACCCCCUAAGCAUUCAAGAAAUGUCAGCUAUUAUUAUUACAGCUAUUAUUAGGAGCCAGCCGGGUAUGCUUAUAAACAAUUUCCCACACCCAGCAAAGCUGGAGCAGACACAUACACUGGCUUAACCCACAGCCACACUUGGAAAUGGGGGAGGGUAGGGAGCUGUAACUCUAUUUUAGAGAUGAGCAGAGGCUCAGAGAAGUCAGAAGCAUUCAUUCAUUUAACAGGCAUUUAUGGUGCGAUUUCCACAUGUCAGGCACUGCCUCUCCUCCCACUUCAAAUUCAGUGAAUCCUCAGAGUGGGGCUGGAGGCUAGGGACAGAGGACUAUGUAUUUUAAACAAGCACCCCCUGGUGAUUCUCAGCUUAGGCAAGUUGGAAAGAUGAUUGGAUUGUAAGGUCCUAAGGCAAGCAUCUUGUCAUGUUCCAAGUUUGGACCUGGGUUUUAUGGGGGAUAUCAUUUUUUGGUGGCAGAUUAGUUUAGCAGUUAACAGCACAGACCCUGUAGCCUGGUUAAUUGGGUAUACAUCUCAGUUUGCCACUGGCUGCAUGACCAUAGGCAUACCUAACCUGUGAAUGCCUCAUCUGUAAAAUGAGGCUAGUAAUAGUACCUACCUCAGAGUUGUGAGAAUUACAUUAGUUUUUUAUGCGAAGUGCUUGGAAGGCUGUCUGCCACAUAGUAACUAUUAUAAAGCAUGAGCUAUUAUUAUUAAUGUACACAGUGUAGACAAGCAUCAGACAGAAGGCCGGGGGUGGUAGAUUUGACACUUCUUACCCCACGAUUGGCUCUGCCUGUAGCGUUGGCAGUGUCUGUCUCUUCAGGGAGGCUCGCCACCUGCUCCUUUCCGCUGGAAGAGCUUUCCUGAGUUGGGGAAUUCCCUCCCAUGGCGCCCGACAGCAGCUCCUAGCAUUCUGAUGCCAUGUGCUCUGCCCACAGCAGCAUAGUGAGAAUUAGAUCACAUCUCGGGCCAAGGCUGGACUGGGAGGACAGGCAGGUGUAGGGGUUGGAAGUGUCCACUUACGAAGGCUGCAAAUGGGAGGAGGAGUGCAGACCCUGGGGAGGCUCCUCUCCACACCCUAGGCCAGCUUUGGCUGAGGGUGGUGCCGCAGACAGGGGAAGGGCGGAUGCCCACGGAGGACAGGCGGGAUGCCAGGGUGUCUGCCAGCCCUCCAGGACACUUAUUUUGGCCUGCUGCCCUCGGGCAGGGAGCAAGCAAGUGUAUUUUGUUUUGGCAUUAACUCAGCAGGCUGUGGGAAAACAGGCAGGCAGGCAUCCUGAACAGGGCCUGCUCCCUUCACAGGCCAGCCCAUGGUGGUGACAGAACUGCCACCUCUGCAUCCUGCUGUCCCUCUCCCACAACUCUCCUCUCUCUCCCCUGAUCCCUGCCUGGCCCUCCUUACCCAGCUCAGCCUGAAGGGUCCUUUCCCUGAAAGGGGCUCACAGACUUGGUAGCAUCCCAUACCUCCCAGGCUAGGCUCUGGAGAAACUCCCUGGUGGAACCCCUGGUGUUACAGAUGAGAAAACCCGGGCUAAGGGAGAGGCAGGGACUUUCCAGGUCCUCACAAUGAGUAAGGAGCAGAACUAAGAUUCUAGUGGGGCUCAAUCUCCCCCAUGGAAAUUCCUCUUUUUGUGGUUUAUUUUUUAACUUACAAAUAAAGCCAUAACAAAAUGACGGGAAACUGAAGGAAAACUCAACAAAGGAAACACACUUGUGGGCCAGCACAGUUGCAGGCACUUUACAUAAACAUUCCCAUUUGAUUCCCACUGCAACCCUGCAAAGAGCCAUUAUCUCUCCUUUAUAGACAAGGAAACCUGGCUGAAAAGAGGUUUCAAGACUUGAUCAAAAACUCUAAGCUUGGCAGAGGAGAAAUAGACAUCUAACCCAGGUUUGCUUGACCUCAGACCCCUGUAACCUCAUCCCUCCACCAAAAGUAUUUUACUCAUUGGUGCCUAAUCACAGUGCAGCUCAUGGCGGAAGGUGCUGAUCAGCGUUCAAUACAGGUGGUCACUCAACCUUCCCUGAUGUGUCCUAGGAUCAGCAGUUACUUGUUUAUGUGGCUCCUCAGCCCUUGCAGACCAUUUACCUGUUAUUUCAUUUAACCUGCACAGCCCUCCAAGAGGAAGACAGGAUGGAAUUUAUUAUUCCUAUUUUAUAGAUGUAGAAACCAAGGUUGAGAGGACAGUGAUGCGCUAGAGGUCACACUCAGUGAGUACCUGGCAGAGAUAGAAUUAGCACCGUGGUUUCCUGCCUUGUAAUGUUAAAACCAUGUGCCUAUCAGCUCCUACCAUAGCCCUGGGACUGACUGCUCAUUUACCGUACACCCCCACCCCUGCCACCCAAAGUUGUAAUAUUCCCUGGUAGGGGCAACACUUGACAAGAUAAUUCCUGGUCCCAGUGCCUGCUUCUUAGGGACUUGCCUCUGGCCUUAGAUCUCUGCUACCACCUGGUAGGAUCUGGGUCCCUAUGACCCUCCUGGCCCUGCAUGUUUCACUGCUGUGACCUUGGUCUCUGUAUUGAGAUUGGGAGCUCCUGGUGGGCAGCUCCUCACCUCAGAGACCUGCUUAUGACUAAGCCCAGGAUAAGGGCUUGUUGAGUGAUACUAUGGAAUUCAAGGCCUAGUGCCUUGAACAAACUCACUAUGUGUCUUAAGGAGAGCCCCUGCUCUCUUCUGGUGGCCACCAAUCUUGAAGUCUCAUUUACCUGUGCUGGGAUUCUGUCCUGAGAGCUGAUAGUGGAAGAGACUGGCACACUCUCACAUCAGGCUGGCAGGAGGCUGGUGUUGAGGGAAUUAGCUCAGGGAGCAAAGGCAUGGGUAGGGAAAGGUGACUAGGGGUAGGAAGGAGAUGAAUGGGGAUGGGGUCCAUAGACCACACUGUCUGCCGCAGCAUCCCCAGCUGGACUUGGUGGGGCCCAGGCAGGGAAUAGCUGGCAUCCAGACGUGCUAACAAGUAUUCCUGAGCAGUCUGUGUCAAUGCAGGUGGGGGAUAAUGACACAGAGGAAGACAGAGUAGAGAGAGCUGAUGGACCCCAACUGCAGGAACGGUCAGGGAUGCUUUGGUGCAGUGUGGGCAGGGGGACUGGCAGCUACUUUCUCUGAAGAGAGCCUUUGACGAAGUCAAACUGUCCUAGGUGCGUGCUCUGGAUGGGGAGUAGUGUGCUACUCAUGUUCUGGCCAUGCUAAAGGGCCGCUGUAUACUUUGUCUCCCUGCCAGUUUUCCCAGGAGCCCUGGAAUAUCAGAACAGCUGAUCUUCUGAUACCCAUUCAUAUACCUGCUCCAGGCCAGUUUUUGAUCCUAGCUCUGACUUAACCUUAGAAUCAUAUUCCUAAUGAAAUGGGAGACUGCACUGCAGCAUGCUGGAGGGAGAGCACAGCUUCAGAGCCAGGGGCCAGCCCUCCCUUUCCUUCACUAGCUGUGUGACCUUGGGUAGGUCAUUUCACUUCUGAGCUGCAGCCUGUGCAAUGGGGUUAUAUGUAUUAUGAGGAGUUGUUGUGAAUGUUGGAAACAAUGUAAAUAACACGCCUAUUUUAAUGUCUGGAACAUGGAAGAGGCAAAA
rnacentral:lncRNA from 1 species